AUCGAUACGAGGAUUAGUAUCCGUCGAACGUUUGUAGAGACCAUUAUUUACGAUAAACUACGCGUUGUUUAUUACCUAUCGUACAUACAUGUAAGAGAGAUCGAAAUUAAAAAGAAAAUCAAUUACGCACUUGUAUAAAUAGCCUCCUCGAUCUUAACCAAAGUGUAAGUAAGCGAAAGGUAAGACAAUUUUCCUCGGG